rnacentral:rRNA from 1 species
AUUGAACGCUGGCGGCAGGCCUAACACAUGCAAGUCGAGCGGAUGAGUGGAGCUUGCUCCAUGAUUCAGCGGCGGACGGGUGAGUAAUGCCUAGGAAUCUGCCUGGUAGUGGGGGAUAACGUUUCGAAAGGAACGCUAAUACCGCAUACGUCCUACGGGAGAAAGUGGGGGAUCUUCGGACCUCACGCUAUCAGAUGAGCCUAGGUCGGAUUAGCUAGUGGGUGGGGUAAUGGCCCACCAAGGCGACGAUCCGUAACUGGUCUGAGAGGAUGAUCAGUCACACUGGAACUGAGACACGGUCCAGACUCCUACGGGAGGCAGCAGUGGGGAAUAUUGGACAAUGGGCGAAAGCCUGAUCCAGCCAUGCCGCGUGUGUGAAGAAGGUCUUCGGAUUGUAAAGCACUUUAAGUUGGGAGGAAGGGCAGUAGGUUAAUACCUUGCUGUUUUGACGUUACCAACAGAAUAAGCACCGGCUAACUUUGUGCCAGCCGCCGCCGUAAGAC